CGCAGGGUGGAGUCCGCCGAGGCGGAGUAGCUCGUUGGGCUCAUAACCCAAAGGCUGCAGGUUCAAGUCCUGCCCCCGCUA
rnacentral:tRNA from 1 species